GCCACUGCUAUUGGGGUUCGGCUAAGCCAUGCGAGUGGAGGGCGUCCCGCAAGGGAUGGCCCCGCAGACGGCUCAGUAACACGUCGUCAACCCACCUUAGGGUGGGGGACAACCUCGGGAAACUGAGGAUAAUCCCCCAUAGGCGGGGGAGGCUGGAAUGCGCCCCCGCUGAAAGCUCAGGCGCCCUGGGACGGGACGGCGGCCUAUCAGGUAGUUGGUGGUGUGACG
rnacentral:rRNA from 1 species